rnacentral:rRNA from 1 species
UACGUAGGGGGCAAGCGUUGUCCGGAAUCAUUGGGCGUAAAGAGCGUGUAGGCGGUUCGGUAAGUCGGCUGUGAAAGUCCAGGGCUCAACCCUGGGAUGCCGGUCGAUACUGCCGGACUAGAGUUCGGAAGAGGCGAGUGGAAUUCCCGGUGUAGCGGUGAAAUGCGCAGAUAUCAGGAAGAACACCCGUGGCUAAGGCGGCUCUCUAGUACGGUACUGACGCUGAGACGCGAAAGCGUGGGGAGCGAACAGG